GGCCCACUGGUGUAACGGUCAACGCGUCUCACUCCUGCAUGCUCUUUGCUAUCCUUAUUCUUGCUUUGUACAGUAUUGUAUUCUUUCGCAGGAGUGAGAAGAUCUCGGGUUCGAGUCCUGGGGGGGUCA